rnacentral:ncRNA from 1 species
AAGAAAACGAUGAACAGGACAUGAGGAUGGAACAGGAUUCAUGAGAGAGUAAGGGUCACAGGCUGAGAGCCCUUAUUGAAUCUUUCCUUUCUUACCCCCUGGGAGUUGCAGGAAUGAACCGAUCGUAGUUCCUGCCGGUUAAACCGUUAUCUCGUAUGAGGGCAGAAGGAGAGCUCUUAAAGAGAGACUCUAUUUUCUAUUUUUCCUUUUGCCGAAGUUGGGUGGAACCACGGGUAGAAUCGCUCGUCCCUUUU